GAUGAAGAACGUAGCGAAAUGCGAUAAGUAAUGCGAAUUGCAGAAUUCCAGUGAGUCAUCGAAUCUUUGAACGCACAUUGCGCCCUUUGGUAUUCCGAAGGGCAUGCCUGUUCGAGCGUCAUUAUCACCCCUCAAGCCCUCGGCUUGGUGUUGGACGGUUUGGUGGAGGCCCCCUCGGGGGUUCCUGCCCCUCCCAAAGACAAUGACGGCGGCCUCGUUGGACCCCCGGUACACUGAGUUCUUCACGGGACACGUAUCGGACACAUGGGUUUACGGGACACGGUCUGCCUCCCCUCGGGGAGAAUCUUUCUAAGGUUGACCUCGGAUCAGGUAGGGAUACCCGCUGAACUUAAGCAUAUCAAUAAGCGGAGGA
rnacentral:misc_RNA from 1 species